AACGAACGCUGGCGGCAGGCCUAACACAUGCAAGUCGAGCGCGCCCUUCGGGGUGAGCGGCGGACGGGUGAGUAACGCGUGGGAACGUGCCCUUUUCUACGGAAUAGCCUCGGGAAACUGAGAGUAAUACCGUAUACGCCCUUUGGGGGAAAGAUUUAUCGGAAAAGGAUCGGCCCGCGUUGGAUUAGGUAGUUGGUGGGGUAAUGGCCUACCAAGCCGACGAUCCAUAGCUGGUUUGAGAGGAUGAUCAGCCACACUGGGACUGAGACACGGCCCAGACUCCUACGGGAGGCAGCAGUGGGGAAUCUUAGACAAUGGGGGCAACCCUGAUCUAGCCAUGCCGCGUGAGUGAUGAAGGCCUUAGGGUUGUAAAGCUCUUUCAGCUGGGAAGAUAAUGACGGUACCAGCAGAAGAAGCCCCGGCUACUCCGUG
rnacentral:rRNA from 1 species